ACCGCUGAAGGCAUCUAAGCGGGAAACUCGUUCCAAGAUUAGACUUCCCGGGGGCUUGACCCCCCUUAAGGGUCGUUCAAGACCAGGACGUUGAUAGGCUGGAUGUGUAAGUACAGUAAUGUAUUUAGCUAACCAGUACUAAUUGCCCGUGAGGCUUGACUCUAUAACACUG
rnacentral:rRNA from 1 species